AAGCGGAGGAAAAGAAACUWACAAGGAUUCCCCUAGUAACGGCGAGUGAAGAGGGAAGAGCUCAAAUUUUGAAUCUGGCGUCUUUGGCGUCCGAAUUGUAAUCUAGAGAAGUGUUUUCCGUGACGGACCGUGCACAAGUCUCCUGGAAYGGAGCGUCAUAGAGGGUGAGAAUCCCGUAUAUGGCAUGGACUGCCGUUGCUCUGUGAUACACUCUCGACGAGUCGAGUUGUUUGGGAAUGCAGCUCUAAAUGGGUGGUAAAUGCCAUCUAAAGCUAAAUAUUGGCGAGAGACCGAUAGCGAACAAGUACCGUGAGGGAAAGAUGAAAAGCACUUUGGAAAGAGAGUGAAACAGUACGUGAAAUUGUUGAAAGGGAAACGCUUGAAGUCAGUCGCGCCGUUCGGGAUUCAGCCUUGCUUYUGCUCGGUUUACUUCCUGUUGGGUGGGUCAACAUCAGUUUUGGUCGGAGGAGAAAGGCUUGGGGAAUGUGGCAGCAUUCGUGCUGUGUUAUAGCCCCUCGUUGUAUACUUCGGCUGGGACUGAGGACCGCAGCACGCCUUUGGCCGGGGUUCGCCCACGUACGUGCUUAGGAUGUUGGCAUAAUGGCUUUAAGCGACCCGUCUUG
rnacentral:rRNA from 1 species